UCCCUGGUGGCUCAGACGGUAAAGCAUCUGUCUACAAUGCAGGAGACCCGGGUUUCAUCCCUGGAUGGGGAA
rfam:TPA: Bos taurus chromosome 14, whole genome shotgun sequence.